rnacentral:rRNA from 1 species
GAUCAUGGGCUCAGAUUGAACGCUGGCGGCAGGCCUAACACAUGCAAGUCGAGCGGAUGAAGGGAGCUUGCUCCCUGAUUUAGCGGCGGACGGGUGAGUAAUGCCUAGGAAUCUGCCUGGUAGUGGGGGAUAACGUUCCGAAAAGAACGCUAAUACCGCAUACGUCCUACGGGAGAAAGCAGGGGACCUUCGGGCCUUGCGCUAUCAGAUGAGCCUAGGUCGGAUUAGCUAGUUGGUGAGG